CUUAGCAAGAACACCUCUUUUCUCUGUCAUGAGGAUUGCUGCAGCACUCUUCCUCGCAUCUGGCACUUAUGAGGCAUUCAAUAGUUUGUUAAGCCUGAACUGAAAACUCAAAAUGAGAGAGGAUAAUUGAAGGAACACAAUCCUGAAAGAGCUGGUAUAAAAGAAGUUGUCAAUUAUGGUGCUGGUUUUUCUCUACAAGCUCACAGACUUCUGAGAAGGAAGUCAGGGACCCCGAAUGGAGGGACCAGCUGAAGCUGUGGCAGAAGAACAUAAAUUGUGAAGAUUUCAUGGACAUUUAUUAGUUCGCAAAAUCAAAACUCUUAUAAUUUCUUAUGACGGUCUUUAAUCUCUUAAUCCUGUUAUCUUCAUAAACUGAGGAUAUAUGUCACCUCAGGACCCUGUGAUGAUUGCGUUAACUGUACAAAUUGUUUGUAAAGCAUGUGUGUUUGAACAAUAUGAAAUCUGAUUGUAAAACAUGGGUGUUUGAACAAUAUGAAAUCAGUGCACCCUGAAAAAAGAACAGAAUAACAGCGAUCUUCAGGGAACAAGGGAAGAUAACCAUAAGGUCUGACUGCCUGCGGGGCCAGGCAGAACAGAGUCGUAUUUUUCUUCUUGCAGAAAGCGAAUAAGAGAAAUAUCACUGAAUUCUUUUCCCAGCAAGGAAUAACCCUGGGGAAGGAAUGCAUUCCCAGGGGUAGGCCUAUAGACGACCACUCUGGGAGUGUCUGUCUUAUGCAGUUGAGAGAAGGGAUGAAAUACGCCCUGGUCUCCUGCAGUGCCCUCAGGCUUACUAAGAUUGGAAAAUUCCAGCCUGGUGAAUUCUAAUCAGACAGGUUGUCUGCUCUUGAACCCUGUUUCCUGUUAAGAUGUUUAUCAAGACAAUGCAUGCCCAGCAGGACAUGGACCCUCAUCAGUAAUUCUAAUUUCGCCCUUGCCUUGUGAUGUUGCUCUGCCCUUGUGAUCUCUUAUUGCCCUUUGAAGCAUGUAAUCUCUGUGACCUACUCCUUAUUCGUACACCCCUCCCCUUUUAAAAUCCCUAAUAAAAACUUGCUGGUUUUGCGGCUCAGGUGGGCAUCACGGAAGCUGCUGAUAUGUGAUGUCGCCCCCAGAGGCCCAGCUGUAAAAUUUCUCUCUUUGUACUCUUCCUCUUUAUUUCUCAGACUGGCCAACACUUAGGGAAAAUAGAAAAGAACCUACGUUGAAAUAUUGGGGGCUGGUUCCCCCAAUAUUAUUAUUCACAUGCAUAUUUUAUACUUUGAUGACAAAUGUGAAUAUUCAUAAACUC
rnacentral:lncRNA from 1 species